UCAUCAUCAUAGAUUGAAGGGCAUCAGCUGGUGCAAUAUCUGGGAGUGCAUGCUACGGUGGUUUUUCCUCUUGAGAUUGUAAUUGUUCAUCUGUGCGGUCUGGCUUUCUUUGAUACUUUUGUGGAAGAUGGAGGUAAAAGUUGGAAAGGAUCAAUGGCUCUUUCUUGUCAAGAUAUGGUGGAAACAAUCAAUGAGAUUAUUCAGAUAUUUUGCUGUUGGCCUAUUUUGUGUAAUUUCGUUUUGCUGAAUUUAAUGAUGGUUUUGUGCUAUUUCUUUCAAUUUGCCGUCAAGGAACUUUGUUAUCUUUUUUUUUUUUUUUUUUUCUAUUUGAGGUUCAAACUCCAUCAUUUUGGAUUGACAAUUUAUGUUUGAGCUCAUGAUUCUUGGAAGAAUAUGAUAGCCCAAUUU